UGUCUGUGUGGUCCCGGAGGGUCGGUGGCGGGCAGUUUCCAAAAUUGAGUCCCCCCUCCCCGGAUACCGGAAAGUCUCUUCUCUUUUUCGUAUCAAAAAAAGCCCGGUGAAGACUCUGCAGAACCCAGGAAGCGCAGAAUCGGGAGAAAGUCUUUGGCUGGGGCUGGUUCAAGACCCUGCUUCAAUGGGCUGCUGGAAGCCAGGACUGGGUAAUUCUUUCCAGACGUCUUGACUUCUCCUUGCUCGCUGUUGUUGCCUUUCUGCCUCCUCCAACUUAAGGGGGUCUUAACAAGUG
rnacentral:lncRNA from 1 species